rnacentral:rRNA from 1 species
UACAGGGGGGGCAAGCGUUGUUCGGAAUUACUGGGCGUAAAGGGCUCGUAGGCGGCCAACUAAGUCACACGUGAAAUCCCCAGGCUUAACCUGGGAACUGCGUGUGAUACUGGAUGGCUUGAAUCCGGGAGAGGGAUGCAGAAUUCCAGGUGUAGCGGUGAAAUGCGUAGAUAUCUGGAGGAAUACCGGUGGCGAAGGCGGCAUCCUGGACCGGCAUUGACGCUGAUGAGCGAAAGCUAGGGGGGCAAACGGG